AUUGAACGCUGGCGGCAGGCCUAACACAUGCAAGUCGAACGGUAGCACAGAGAGCUUGCUCUCGGGUGACGAGUGGCGGACGGGUGAGUAAUGUCUGGGAAACUGCCCGAUGGAGGGGGAUAACUACUGGAAACGGUAGCUAAUACCGCAUAACGUCGCAAGACCAAAGUGGGGGACCUUCGGGCCUCACACCAUCGGAUGUGCCCAGAUGGGAUUAGCUAGUAGGUGGGGGAAUGGCUCACCUAGGGGACGAUACCUAGCUGGCCUGAGAGGAUGACCAGCCACACUGGAACGGAGACACGGUCCAGACUCCUACGGGAGGCAGCAGUGGGGAAUAUUGCACAAGGGGCGCAAGCCUGAUGCAGCCAUGCCGCGUGUAUGAAGAAGGCCUUCGGGUUGUAAAGUACUUUCAGCGGGGAGGAAGGCGGUGAAGUUAAUAACUUCACCGAUUGACGUUACCCGCAGAAGAAGCACCGGCUAACUCCGUGCCAGCCGCCGCAGUAA
rnacentral:rRNA from 1 species